AUCCUUUUGUAGUUUCUAAGCAUGAUGAUUGUGUUUUCACACUCCUGUGUGAGACGUUCCUCCUGCAAACCUUGUUACUUCUGCACAUUACCCAUCUGAUG